rnacentral:rRNA from 1 species
GAUGAACGCUAGCUACAGGCUUAACACAUGCAAGUCGAGGGGCAGCAUGAUUGAAGCUUGCUUCAAUCGAUGGCGACCGGCGCACGGGUGAGUAACACGUAUCCAACCUGCCGAUAACUCGGGGAUAGCCUUUCGAAAGAAAGAUUAAUACCCGAUAGUAUAGUAUUUCCGCAUGGUUUCACUAUUAAAGAACUUCGGUUAUCGAUGGGGAUGCGUUCCAUUAGAUAGUUGGCGGGGUAACGGCCCACCAAGUCAACGAUGGAUAGGGGUUCUGAGAGGAAGGUCCCCCACAUUGGAACUGAGACACGGUCCAAACUCCUACGGGAGGCAGCAGUGAGGAAUAUUGGUCAAUGGACGAGAGUCUGAACCAGCCAAGUAGCGUGAAGGAUGACUGCCCUAGGGGUGGUAAACUUCUUUUAUACGGGAAUAAAGUGGAGUAUGCAUACUCCUUUGUAUGUACCGUAUGAAUAAGGAUCGGCUAACUCCGUG